AUUCUGGGAAGUGGAAGGCUAAGUGAAGGAGACACUGCCAGCUGCCGCCAUGACAAGCAGCAUGUGAAGAUGCCAGAAAGCCACGAGCCAUGUGGCAAGAUCCGAUCGACGGACGGUGAUGCAGAGAUGGCAAAGUCAAGGUCUCCUCUGGUGAGUGUUAGGAAAUCGUGGCUGAAUCGGAGGACGAAGUGAACAGCAGAGGCGGGACGUCCCAGCCUUCAGACCAGAUGGGAGAAGAGUUCCGCUGAAACCAUUAAGCAAGGAGUUAUUUGCAGAGCUUGUGUCUAACGUGCAAAAUACCGAUAAAGCCUGAAAACCAGAAGACCUGGCGGGGGGGCCCUUGGUGAGGCUGUGUAAUAGAACAACACGCUGCAAGUUCUAUGC